ACAACAACAUUCGAGCUGUAGGUCUACCGAGCAAUAUCACCCGCUCGGUGGAAGAUCUUCCCUUCGUCGUUAAAC
rnacentral:pre_miRNA from 1 species